ACAAAUGCAUAGAAGAGGAAUAGUAAUUAUUGAGCGACUUUCAGAAAGCUGUCGGUUGAUGUGAGACAGUAGGAGUGAUAUAAUGAACUCGCCUUAGAGCAGCCGGCUGAACAUAUUAGUAGGUCAGGACGGAUUCCACCGUUAAAGGGAGCGGAUGUCAUGAGCAUCCAGUAAGGGCAUGUCUAUACAUGAAGUAGAGUGGUACCGCGAUGAUUCGUCUCUAUA
rnacentral:ncRNA from 1 species